GCCUGGUGGUUUCCCAAAGGCAGCUGUGAGGUGCUGGUCCUUGGGUUUUGAUUGUUUGCAGGCAGACAGUGACAUCUGUGAUUAUUGCAUGGGGGCCACAACCUGAGGUGGCCUCCGUAGCCCGGUCACAGAGACAUAG